rnacentral:rRNA from 17 species
UAAAACUUUCAACAACGGAUCUCUUGGUUCUGGCAUCGAUGAAGAACGCAGCGAAAUGCGAUAAGUAAUGUGAAUUGCAGAAUUCAGUGAAUCAUCGAAUCUUUGAACGCACAUUGCGCCCUCUGGUAUUCCAGAGGGCAUGCCUGUUCGAGCGUCAUU